AGACCCGAAACCCGGUGAUCUAGCCAUGGGCAGGUUGAAGGUUGGGUAACACUAACUGGAGGACCGAACCGACUAAUGUUGAAAAAUUAGCGGAUGACUUGUGGCUGGGGGUGAAAGGCCAAUCAAACCGGGAGAUAGCUGGUUCUCCCCGAAAGCUAUUUAGGUAGCGCCUCGUGAAUUCAUCUCCGGGGGUAGAGCACUGUUUCGGCAAGGGGGUCAUCCCGACUUACCAACCCGAUGCAAACUGCGAAUACCGGAGAAUGUUAUCACGGGAGACACACGGCGGGUGCUAACGUCCGUCGUGAAGAGGGAAACAACCCAGACCGCCAGCUAAGGUCCCAAAGUCAUGGUUAAGUGGGAAACGAUGUGGGAAGGCCCAGACAGCCAGGAUGUUGGCUUAGAAGCAGCCAUCAUUUAAAGAAAGCGUAAUAGCUCACUGGUCGAGUCGGCCUGCGCGGAAGAUGUAACGGGGCUAAACCAUGCACCGAAGCUGCGGCAGCGACACUGUGUGUUGUUGGGUAGGGGAGCGUUCUGUAAGCCUGUGAAGGUGUACUGUGAGGUAUGCUGGAGGUAUCAGAAGUGCGAAUGCUGACAUAAGUAACGAUAAAGCGGGUGAAAAGCCCGCUCGCCGGAAGACCAAGGGUUCCUGUCCAACGUUAAUCGGGGCAGGGUGAGUCGACCCCUAAGGCGAGGCCGAAAGGCGUAGUCGAUGGGAAACAGGUUAAUAUUCCUGUACUUGGUGUUACUGCGAAGGGGGGACGGAGAAGGCUAUGUUGGCCGGGCGACGGUUGUCCCGGUUUAAGCGUGUAGGCUGGUUUUCCAGGCAAAUCCGGAAAAUCAAGGCUGAGGCGUGAUGACGAGGCACUACGGUGCUGAAGCAACAAAUGCCCUGCUUCCAGGAAAAGCCUCUAAGCAUCAGGUAACAUCAAAUCGUACCCCAAACCGACACAGGUGGUCAGGUAGAGAAUACCAAGGCGCUUGAGAGAACUCGGGUGAAGGAACUAGGCAAAAUGGUGCCGUAACUUCGGGAGAAGGCACGCUGAUAUGUAGGUGAAGUCCCUCGCGGAUGGAGCUGAAAUCAGUCGAAGAUACCAGCUGGCUGCAACUGUUUAUUAAAAACACAGCACUGUGCAAACACGAAAGUGGACGUAUACGGUGUGACGCCUGCCCGGUGCCGGAAGGUUAAUUGAUGGGGUCAGCGCAAGCGAAGCUCUUGAUCGAAGCCCCGGUAAACGGCGGCCGUAACUAUAACGGUCCUAAGGUAGCGAAAUUCCUUGUCGGGUAAGUUCCGACCUGCACGAAUGGCGUAAUGAUGGCCAGGCUGUCUCCACCCGAGACUCAGUGAAAUUGAACUCGCUGUGAAGAUGCAGUGUACCCGCGGCAAGACGGAAAGACCCCGUGAACCUUUACUAUAGCUUGACACUGAACAUUGAGCCUUGAUGUGUAGGAUAGGUGGGAGGCUUUGAAGUGUGGACGCCAGUCUGCAUGGAGCCGACCUUGAAAUACCACCCUUUAAUGUUUGAUGUUCUAACGUGGACCCGUGAUCCGGGUUGCGGACAGUGUCUGGUGGGUAGUUUGACUGGGGCGGUCUCCUCCUAAAGAGUAACGGAGGAGCACGAAGGUUGGCUAAUCCUGGUCGGACAUCAGGAGGUUAGUGCAAUGGCAUAAGCCAGCUUGACUGCGAGCGUGACGGCGCGAGCAGGUGCGAAAGCAGGUCAUAGUGAUCCGGUGGUUCUGAAUGGAAGGGCCAUCGCUCAACGGAUAAAAGGUACUCCGGGGAUAACAGGCUGAUACCGCCCAAGAGUUCAUAUCGACGGCGGUGUUUGGCACCUCGAUGUCGGCUCAUCACAUCCUGGGGCUGAAGUAGGUCCCAAGGGUAUGGCUGUUCGCCAUUUAAAGUGGUACGCGAGCUGGGUUUAGAACGUCGUGAGACAGUUCGGUCCCUAUCUGCCGUGGGCGCUGGAGAACUGAGGGGGGCUGCUCCUAGUACGAGAGGACCGGAGUGGACGCAUCACUGGUGUUCGGGUUGUCAUGCCAAUGGCACUGCCCGGUAGCUAAAUGCGGAAGAGAUAAGUGCUGAAAGCAUCUAAGCACGAAACUUGCCCCGAGAUGAGUUCUCCCUGACCCUUUAAGGGUCC
rnacentral:rRNA from 1 species